UCAAAACGGAGGAACCCGAGAGACUCCUCGAGGACUGCAGGCUCGGCGCGGAGCCCGCGUCCAAUGGCCCGGCUCGUGGCAGCGCGGAGGUCAUCUUGGCCCCAACGUCCGGUGCCUUUGGGCCGCACCAGCAAGACCUCAGGAUCCCUCUGGACUCUCCACACUGCUUCCCCUGGGGCCCGGAUCCAGUUUCAGGAAGCUCCGCCUUCAGAGCUGAUAAGAUUGACCAAGGUCCCCCUGACACCAGUGCCUAUUAAAAUGCAGUCCCUACUGGAGCCUUCUGUAAAAAUUGAAACCAAAGAUGUCCCCUCACUGUGCUGCCCUCAGAUGCAGGGGAUUAACUGAACAUGAGGGAAGAGAGCAGAUCAGUGCUCAGAAAGGGAAUGUAUGUUGCUCAGGGUCUCAGAGGAAACUGAGGAAUCACACAA
rnacentral:lncRNA from 1 species